UGCCACUGCAUUCCAGCUUAGGGAACAGAGCUAUACUCUGUCUUAAAAAAAUAAAAUAAAAUAAAAUAAAAUUCAACCAAAGCUCAUCUGGCUGCAAACUCUAAGCUCUUGACUCACUAUCUUCAUGCUUAGAAUUCUCCCAUUCAUUCCUAAAGUGAAUGUUUGUGGAACUUUUCACAGACAUGAAAGACUCACUCAUUAUCAAGUAGUGACAGCCCCACAUGAAGUAUUUAAGUAUUCCACAACCAGACAGUCAACUGGCAGCAGAUCUGUUUAUAUGAAAGUCACUCCAUGGUUUAAAUUUUGGUGGAUCAGAAGACUUGGACAUAAUCAAUCAAUCAUCAAUCAAAUUUUGGUGGAAAAAGAAAAGGACGAAAAUUAAUAUGCAUGAGAUCAGGAGACGGCAGGAUCUUGGAUGGACAUGGCAGAUGAUGCCUGGUUGAUCAUUACUAUGGGAUGAUGCCUGGUUGAUCAUUACUAUGGGAUGAUGCCUGGUUGAUCAUUACUAUGGGAUGAUGCCUGGUUGAUCAUUACUGUGGGAGAGUUUGGCAUCGAAGCCUGGGGUCAGUGGAGAGCACCACUUUGAGGACGCCUCUGUGGCCCAAACAGAGCAGAGCGCCAGAAAGAUCAUGAAAGACUCACACUUGACAGCAUCACUUCUGGCCUCUGGGGCCCUGUGGUCAGCUAGAGAGGUAUGACGAUGACACUGGACUCGGGAGACUGUGCUGGAAUUCCAGCUCUGUCCAAUUUUGAUGUAGAACCUUCCUUUCUCUGGGCCUCAGUUUCCCUAUUUGUAAGAUCAGCGCAUUGGAACAGAUGCUGUUUAGAGGCCCCAAGUCUUAGAUUCUAGCUGGGUUUUUACCUUAUAGAGGACUCUCAGGACCCAGAGAGUUUACCUUCCUGAAGAAAAAGCCUAGGAAUAGACAAGAAUCAUGACCCCGAACUUCACAGUGGUUCAAGCACUUUUAUAUCCCAUUUUAAAGAAAAGGAAAUGGAACCUCAGAGAGUAAGCCCACUUGCCCAAGAUGACACAGCAAGUCAGAGGUACUGUAAGAUUCAAACCCAAGUCUUCAGAAUUCAGCCACGUACUGCUUCAUUAUGGUCCCUCCAAGACGUCUUUAGUCCUAAACCCAGAGUUGGAGGUGCCUAGGAUAGUAGCACUGUCCAGAUAAUCCUGCAGAGGAAAGUUAAAAAAUGAUCUUAAAGAUGCAAGAAGUGAGAGUGCUGAAUAAACCAAGAAAAAAUAGGUGUUAUUUUCAGGUGCAAUUUGAGCAAGGUCUCAAACUAUAGCUCCCACAAGAUUCUCUCCACGACAGUUCUCUUCAUGUUGGCUUCAUUCUUAGUCAGACUCCCUCUUAGCAUUUAUAAUAUGGCUGUAGCAUCUCCUCCCAUCUUCCCACAUUCAUGUUUAGUAAGGGCUUUUUCUGGGCAACUCAGCUAACUAGGAGUGGCUAGAAUUAAAUCUUUAAAUCAAUGAUCGGGACCAGGGAAAUGGGAUGUACCGAUUGGUUUAAGCCAAGGCCACAAUACUCAUCACCAUUGAAUGCUCCAAAUCCAGUAGAAUUUUCAGAGUGGGAGAAGGAAUGAUUCUCCUGGGGUAAAUUAGGAUAUGGCUACCAGAAGAGGGGCAAAAGGAUGCUCAGUGGUAAAAAUAGUAGUGAGUGUUCUCUAAAGUCUACCCCUUUUGGUUACUGAAAUCUACGUAGCUGUAAAUUUUUUCAAAUACUUUCUAAACCAACAUCUACAUAAAAUGCACUCAACCUCUCUCCCAAAGAAAGACAACAAAAUGUCUCUCUGGGUACUAUAUUCAUCUCCAGUUCUGAAAUGUGGGUGAAAGUAGUUCUGUCAGUUAAAUUUAUAGUCUUUACAGAUUAAGUUUAAUAAGCUUAAGUAAGUUUAACCACUUCAAAUGCACCCAAUAUAAAAUGGUAGAGUGAGGGCAGAAUGACUGCAAUAAAAAGUCCUAUUUGCAAAAGGGAAACAUAGGAAGAUAUAUACAAAUUGUCACUGGCCCAUAAUAUAGAUUGUACAUCCUGUAAGACAGGGAUGUGGGGACUUCCUACCUAAUGUUGGAGUGACUUCCUUAUUCAAUAAAUCCGAAGAAUUCAGUUCUGCUGCCUGGGAGCCUCUCCCUUGCCUUCCAUGGCUACAUCUCAGAGAAGUAUUUCAGAGGAUGCCCUUUUGUUGGGGAAGGAAGGGCAUCUACACCUUUUCAAGAAUUCACUUUAUACAGGUGCAAUAGGACCUGGGGAUUGACAUGAGCAAUCAGUGGCCAUUAUAAGGCUUGGUUUUCAUGUUUAGUUGGCUCCUGGUCCAUUUGCUUCAAAUAAAAGCAUGAACUAGAAAUUAUUGUCA